GCCAGGCAUGGUGGUGGAUGCCUGAAAUCUCAGCUACUUGGGAGGCUGAGGCAGGAGGAUCACAAGUUCAAGACCAGCCUGAGCAAUUUAGUGAGACUUUGUCUCAA
rnacentral:sRNA from 1 species